rnacentral:rRNA from 1 species
GCUUUUCCGCCGGCGACCGGCGCACGGGUGCGCACCGCGUAUGGAACCUGCCUUGUACAGGGGAAUAGCCCAGGGAAACUUGGAUUAAUGCCCCGUAGUACCGUAUUUCGGCAUCGUUAUACGGUUAAAGCCUUCGGGCGGUACAAGAUGGCCAUGCGUCCCAUUAGCUGGAUGGUAAGGUAACGGCUUACCAUGGCUACGAUGGGUAGGGGCCCUGAGAGGGGGAUCCCCCACACUGGUACUGAGACACGGACCAGACUCCUACGGGAGGCAGCAGUGAGGAAUAUUGGACAAUGGAGGAGACUCUGAUCCAGCCAUGCCGCGUGCAGGAAGAAUGCCCUAUGGGUAGUAAACUGCUUUUAUACGGGAAGAAAAAGAGCUACGUGUAGCUUACUGACGGUACCGUAAGAAUAAGGACCGGCUAACUCCGUGCCAGCAGCCGCGGUAAUACGGAGGGUCCGAGCGUUAUCCGGAAUUAUUGGGUUUAAAGGGUCCGUAGGCGGGCCGAUAAGUCAGGGGUGAAAGUCUGCCGCUCAACGGUAGAACUGCCUUUGAUACUGUCGGUCUUGAGUUAUAGUGAAGUUGCCGGAAUAUGUAGUGUAGCGGUGAAAUGCAUAGAUAUUACAUAGAACACCGAUUGCGAAGGCAGGUGACUAACUAUAUACUGACGCUGAUGGACGAAAGCGUGGGGAGCGAACAGGAUUAGAUACCCUGGUAGUCCACGCCGUAAACGAUGGAUACUAGCUGUCCGGGGCCUUGAGUUCUGGGCGGCCAAGCGAAAGUGAUAAGUAUCCCACCUGGGGAGUACGUUCGCAAGAAUGAAACUCAAAGGAAUUGACGGGGGCCCGCACAAGCGGUGGAGCAUGUGG